rnacentral:rRNA from 1 species
GACGAACGCUGGCGGCGUGCUUAACACAUGCAAGUCGAACGGUGACCCCCAGCUUGCUGGGGUGAUCAGUGGCGAACGGGUGAGUAACACGUGAGUAACCUGCCCCAGACUCUGGGAUAACCUCGGGAAACCGGGGCUAAUACUGGAUAUGACACUCCAUCGCAUGGUGAGGGUGUGGAAAGUCUUUCGGUCUGGGAUGGACUCGCGGCCUAUCAGCUUGUUGGUGAGGUAGUGGCUCACCAAGGCGACGACGGGUAGCCGGCCUGAGAGGGCGACCGGCCACACUGGAACUGAGACACGGUCCAGACUCCUACGGGAGGCAGCAGUGGGGAAUAUUGCACAAUGGGCGCAAGCCUGAUGCAGCGACGCCGCGUGGGGGAUGAAGGCCUUCGGGUUGUAAACCCCUUUCAGCAGGGAAGAAGCGAAAGUGACGGUACCUGCAGAAGAAGCGCCGGCUAACUACGUGCCAGCAGCCGCGGUAACAC